AAACUUGAGCUAAUACCGGAUACGCCCUUAGGGGGAAAGAUUUAUUGCCGAAGGAUUGGCCCGCGUCCGAUUAGCUAGUUGGUGAGGUAAUGGCUCACCAAGGCGACYGAUCGGUAGCUGGUCUGAGAGGAUGAUCAUGCCACACUGGGACUGAGACACUGGCCCAGACUCCUACGGGAGGCAGCAGUGGGGAAUAUUGGACAAUGGGCGCAAGCCUGAUCCAGCCAUGCCGCGUGAGUGAUGAAGGCCCUAGGGUUGUAAAGCUCUUUCGCCAGGGACGAUAAUGACGGUACCUGGAUAAGAAGCCCCGGCUAACUUC
rnacentral:rRNA from 1 species